rnacentral:rRNA from 1 species
CCUACGGGAGGCAGCAGUGAGGAAUAUUGGUCAAUGGACGAGAGUCUGAACCAGCCACGUAGCGUGAAGGAUGAAUGCCCUAUGGGUUGUAAACUUCUUUUAUAUGGGAAUAAAACGUUCCACGUGUGGGAUUUUGUAUGUACCAUAUGAAUAAGGAUCGGCUAACUCCGUGCCAGCAGCCGCGGUAAUACGGAGGAUCCGAGCGUUAUCCGGAUUUAUUGGGUUUAAAGGGAGCGUAGGUGGAUUGUUAAGUCAGUUGUGAAAGUUUGCGGCUCAACCGUAAAAUUGCAGUUGAAACUGGCAGUCUUGAGUACAGUAGAGGUGGGCGGAAUUCGUGGUGUAGUGGUGAAAUGCUUAGAUAUCACGAAGAACUCCGAUUGCGAAGGCAGUUCACUGGACUGCAACUGACACUGAGGCUCGAAAGUGUGGGUAUCAAACAGGAUUAGAUACCCCAGUAGUC